ACGAGCUUGCCGAACUUGCCGAGCUUGACGAGCUUGCCGAACUUGCCGAGCUUGGCGAGCUUGCCGAACUUGGUGCUUGAGCCAUCACAAUCUACCAACAAAGCGCGGCCCCUGAUUUCGAUGGGAAGGAGUACAAGAUUGGAAAAUCUAGGUUCGCGUGGUCGGAGGUGGGGGAUGAAAGGAUUGAUGGGGCAAAUGAUCUGAAAUUGAAAGAUCAGACAAUUCCUGGAAACGAGCCUCUUCCCAAAAUGAAAAUGGCUCCUAAUGGUUGUUGGAGGAAGAAGGUUUUCAAGACUCCGAAUUCAUUCAGCUAUAGAAGAUUGCUUCUGCAUUUGAUGGAUAUUGUCAACAAUACAUCUAGUGUUACCAAAUUUGAAUUAGUAGAUGCUGGAAGUCUAUCUAAACUGCGAGAACUGGAUGGUGUCAGUUUUGAACCGAGGUCUAUUGCUGAGAAUAGUUGUGCAGUUGAAACUGAGUGUGUUGCUCCUAAGUUUAAUAAUGAUGCAAGGGAAGUCCCUAUAAAAGUUUCCAACAUUCAGCUAGAUUUGAGUGGAGCGUGUAAUGAACUGGAUCAGUCUCCAGAAACCAUUAGACUGCUGGAUCCUGGAUGUGAAUGAAAAUGGACAUCAGAAUGAUAUGAAUGGAGUUGAUGAUGCUUCAGUACAAGAAAACAUCCAGACAACCCCUCCCGAUCCUGGUAUCAUUGCCAAAACCGAGGUUAGUCAUGGCAGAGAAUCAGAAGAUGCUAAGACGAAUCAAACUUCUAUUGGGUUGCCAGUUUGCAGUGAGAAGGGCAGCAGUGCCACCUCGAAGCAGUGUCCGCAUACCAAAUGUGCCGCCAAAUUGAUGAACAAAAUGGCUCUGAAUCCAUGUUCCAGACUGAGGCUCUUCGGGAACCUCAGGUCAAUCAGUUACAGAAGACUGCUUCCAUUUCUGAUGGACAUAUCCAAAGCUGAUUCAUGUACCACAACAAAGCCUCCAAAAAGAUUGCCUCAAGUUUUUUUCUGGAGAAGAUAAACAUCCAGCUUCUGCUGCCACUACUGAACACGAUUUUGUGAAUAAUGCUCCAAAAGAAAAAAAUCUACAAUAAAUUAUAUGCUGAAGAUAGAAUCCAAACUGCCUCAGAUGGCUCAUCUUCUCAUAGUAAUAGUAACCUGGUUUCAUCAAUUCCAGAGUUAUCUGCCACCAACUAUUCAUCAAAUAUUGAUCUUAGGUCAGUUAAUUAUGUAAAUCUUCCUGAUCUAGGCUUGGUGUCUGAAGAAAUUUUACAAAGUAAAAGUGGUAGGGAGAGUUUUCAGUCUGAGAACCAUCGUCGGUUGUCAGCUACAUUGUACUCCUGGAGAGCCUAGGUUAUUUGAGGAAUAAAGUAUGUGCUUGAGUGUGGGAUUAGAACGUCACAAUCACAAUAUUAGUUCAAGUGAAAUAGUUAGCUUGAAGCAACACUUGUCCCAAAUCAACAAAUUGGAUCAUUUGGAUGCUUUGGUUUCUCCAAAAAGGCCUGUCUAGGGAAUACUUAAGAGUAAUCGUCGAGGAUGCAGAGGGUUAUGUAAUUGCUUGAAUUGUGCUUCUUUUCGUCUUCAUGCUGAAAGAGCAUUUGAGUUUUCAAGGAACCAGUUGCAAGAUGCGGAAGAAGUUGCAUCACAGUUGAUGAAAGAACUAGCAAAUGUUCGUCUUUUAUUGGAGAAAUCCAUCAUUGAUAAAGAUGAUUCUGCUAGCAUCCGACCCUGUUCAGUUCUUAUUAAAGAAGCGUGCGAUAGAGCAAUUGAAGCAGAAACUCUGGCGAAGGCGCAUCUUGGUGAAUUGAACAACGAUCUUAGUGUUCAUUGCAGAAUCCCAGACUUGCUGCAGCCCAAGGUAUCUUUUGCUCAUAGCAAUCAGUAUAAGAAAAUAUAAAACACAGUUGCAUCCAUCAAGUAUCGGAGAAUGUUCUAACAGAACUCGUGUUGGUAGCUGUAUAUAAGCUAAUUGUUUCUGUAUCAUGAUUCAGAGUGAUCGUGUUUGCUCAGACGUGCCCUUCUCUUUACAAUUUACUACAGAGUAGUCUGCCUUUGAAGCAUAUUUGCAACCUUUGAUUUCUGUAUCCAAUUGAGUAUUGGUGUGAUCCUAGCAUCCCUUUAGAUUCUAGAUGAAUUGUAUGCAUAUGUUACAUGUUCUAUAUAAUGAAAAGUGAGUAUUUUUUUGCGUUA